GGGGGGGGUCGUCCUCACUGCUGCCCUCAGGUGCUAAGAAUCCAGGAUAGCAGCCAACGGGCCCACGCAUGCGCACUGCGUUCCGCCGCGCUCACUGCUACCCUCGGCUGUCGAUAAAGUAGUACUGCACGCGUAAGGCGCACGCAUGCGCACUGGUUUUUCCAUGCUCACUGCUGCCCUCAGGUGUCGACACGCCAGUACUGCAGCCACGACUGCCCUCCCCCGCGUACAAAGAAUACUGCAGCCAGCCGGCGCGCACCGCCGAUCGCUGUGUUCGCCGUUACUCUCCGGUGCUCCGGGAACGGGGCCCCGGUUCCUCCCCAGUGCGGGCCGGGGCGCGCGCUCGCCCCUGCAGACGCAGCCUGGAGGAACGGGGAGGCAGGCGGGCCCCGGAGUGGGCUUGUGACGCGGCGUCCGCGGGAGGACGGCUCCUGUGGCGGCAGGCACACCCGAGAGUGCUGAUAAGUCCCGAGGAGGUUUAAAACCUCUGGACCGAGCAGGUUGAGUGUCAAUUUGAGUCAGGUACGAUUAGUGCAGCCCCAGGUUAUUUCCUGGAGAGCUGGGGCUAGGCAAGCAAGAAGAGGGAUAGAAGAAUGACACUCCCAGGCACCCGGAGGCCCCCCCCACUCCCAGGCAGUGUGUGGGCGCCAGCCAACGCGGGCACCGACUGACUGAAAACCCCGCUGAGCCUUGCUGAGCCCUGCUCCCUCCUGUCUGGCUGCCCCAAAGCCACAGGCUUCCCCAGUGUGGUAUGUGGUGACGGGUCCUCCGUUGCCUCUGAUGUCUCCCCGGGCAGAGGGCAGCUGCACGUAUGCUGCACAGGGGUCUGGAUGUCUCCAGCGGUGGCACAGCAGACUGAUGUCCCAAAGCCCCAAGCAAUCCUAAAACCACUCCCAGACCCAGUCCCCACAGCAGUGAGGUGUUCUGAUAAAUAUGGGGGGUGAUCUGUGCCUCCCCUUUGACUCAGUCCCACUUUAGAGAAAAGGGAAUUUACAGCACUUCUCGGUGAAGAAUGUUGACAGGUGGGUGUACAGAUGACAAACAGACUUUUCUCUCUUUUUUUCUGAGCCACCUCUUAGAAGCCUCUGUGCAUGCAAGAGGACUCUGUUAAUGCGG
rnacentral:lncRNA from 1 species